rnacentral:lncRNA from 1 species
UACUCCUUGGUGAAGAGGCUCAUGUGGAACCUUGGUUCUGUGUAUUUGAAGAUAGUUCCAAUCUUGAUGCAAGAUAGGUGCACGGUUUGCAUGGAACAUACCAUAUGCUCAGAAAUCAAUUUGGACACACCCGAUGGAACUGUAGAUGCACCCGAUGGAACUACUAGAUGAAGUGUAUCAUAUGGAAUCUCGCUUCAGUCCAGUUAGAGAUAAUAUUAGUUUUGGUGCAAGAUAGUUGCAUGGUUUGUGCCCAGUGCACCAUAGGCUCAGAAAUCGUUGUGGAAGUUCCCGAUGGUACUCCUAGGUGAAGAGGUUCAAGUGAAAGCUCGGUUCGGUCUGUUUGGAGAUAGUGCUAAUCUUGAUGAAAGAUAGGUGUACGGUUUGCAUGGAACGUACCGUAUUCUCAGAAAUCAAUUUGGACGCACCCGAUAGAACUCCUAGAUCAUGUGUGUCAUAUGGAAUCUCGCUUUAAUCUGUUUGGAGACAGUUUAGGUGCAAGAUUGGUGCAUGGUUUGCGCAUAAUGCACCAUAGGCUCAGAAACCAUUAUGGAAGCACCUGAGAGUACUCCUAGGUGAAGAGGCUCAAGUUGAAGGUCGGUUCGAUCUGUUUGGAGAUAGUGCUAAUCUUGAUGCAAGAUAGGUGAACGGUUUGCAUGGAACAUACCAUAUGCUAAGAAAUCUAUUUGGAUGCAUCGCAAUAGAACUCCUAGAUGACAUGUGUCAUAUGUGUAACACCCUAAAUUUUGAAAGUCUUUAAAAUAGAAGAAUUUGAUUUAAUUUUGUGUUUUGUGCUCAUAAAAAUAUAAAAACAAUGAUAUUUUUUCAUUAAAUUAAAAAUUAUCAUAGGAGUUAGCAAUGUGGUUGAGCAUGCAUGCCCUUGCAUUUAUUUUAUUGAGAUGUGUGGCUGCGUCAAAAAAAAAUUCCAAAUGAUUCAAAAUAUUUUUGAAAAGAUGUGAAAAUAGCUUUGGAAUAAAAGAAAACAAAAAGGAAAGAAAAAAAAGGAAAACCUCCCCCUCUCUCAUUUUUCCCCCUCGACCCUCUCCCGUGGCCACUUGGCCCAGCAACGUGGCCCAAUGGCCAGCUCAGACAGUGAGCCGAAGCCCAGGUCGCACGCGUUCCCUCCUCUCCUCCUUCCUUCCGACUGACAGCCCGGUCCCGCGCUACCGGUCACUGACUGAUGGGACCCAAUCGUCAGCGUCUUCCUCCCUCCUUUCCUUCAUCUUCUCGACGGGCUCAUGCAGGACUCAAGCCGGUUGGAAUCAACCCCGAAAUCUUCGGGAGUUUUCUUGCCCAACGCGUAAUCCGAGCAUUCUGUGAGUUUUGGAAGCCGCCCCGUGUUUCUUUUUCCCUUAUACGCGGUCUAUCCAAGCCCUAGACGCCCUAUUGCGAGUACUCGAAUCUCGGCGAGUCCAGAACCAACCCGCCGCGGUGAACCUCGAAUUUCGUCACGGUUUGUGCUUCGGUGAGUGGUUACCGAGGUCUGUGAUGACCUUGCGAAGCAGAAAGAUCGCUCCCUAUGUUUUCUAGUGCUUCCAGUGUCUCUCUAAUCGACACCGAAAUCUGUACAGGAAGAGCCGUCCGCGGUUUGCGUCGCGCGCCUCUCCUGAGACCUCCCCGAGCUUCGAUAACCCCCAGGUGAGUUCGCGAGGGUCCUCUCUUGCUCUCGGAACUUUUCCCGUCGAAAACCGAGCUUCCUAGUGCUUUCUCCACGAACGCCGGUGAGGAGCAGAGCUUCCGUCAAUGGCGCCACCGUCUAUGCCCUGUGCGCCACCGGCAGAUGCCCCUCCCUUUUCUCUGGAUGUGUUUUGAACCACUCGAUCGUGAUCUAACGGACCAAGAUGGCUGAUACCCCUUCGAUCGCGUUUUUUUCUAAAGAGUCCCUGGGUUUUCAGUUAUUUAACCCGCAGUCCAAAAUGCACUUGGUAAACACGCUUUCAUUGGUUAAAAACGUAUUCCACUCUGGUUUAUGUCAAAAAUACGUUUUCCAGUUAUUACAAGUUUGCCAUUGAGUUUCUAUUGGCCAUAAAAUAUUCAUUUUAAUUCCAUUUUUGUCCAUUCAAAUUUCGUUAGAUUCGUAUUUACGAGCUCUACAUCUUAGUAGUAUUGUUCACUCAGUUUGAAACUUUUUAUUUUCAUAAUAUUAUUUAAUUAAUUACUUAUCUAUAUAAAAUCCUAGAAAAUUCAUAACUCUUCCGUUUUAAUUCCGAUUUUCGUGAACUUUACGUUUGUGUGAUCGUAGCGCUGCGUAGAAUAUUUUGAUAAACUUUUAUAUUUGUUUUACCACUGUUUGGUGUAUUGUUCUAAUUAUAGCUUGUUUGCUUCGUGUAUGAUUGUCUACAUUGGAAUGCGUGUUGUUGAGUGAUGAUCGAGUUUAGUCGGUGAGCUUUACGUUGGUGAUCAAGGUCAAGCUUUUGAAGACCAGCAGGCUCAGGAGAGCUUAGAUCAAGGCAAGUAUAAUUGGGGAUUAUCUUUGUUACCUAUACACAAUUAAUACAAUAUAUCACCUUGAUGACCUUAGCAAAAUCAUAGAUGAUUGUUAUCAUGAAUUCCCUGUUACCUAUUUGGAUAUGCAUUUGGGUAGUUCUUGCUAGUGCUUGAUUAUUAAUCCAUGAUCUUGUAACAUGAAUAUUUGAAUAUACAAUAAACAAUAAAAUAAGCUUUCUAGCAACUUGAAUAUAAAGGGUGGAAAGAACUCUAGCUUUUGCUGGAUGAUCUUGACCCUCCAUAAGGACUUAUCCCUUGGCAAAAGGUGGGACAACUCGUACAACCAUGAGGGCUAUAUGGCUCUGGCUUUAGUCAAGUAUGAGUAAGCUUUUCUAGCUCGUUAGCGGUUACCCAAAAGGGCGGAGGGGCUAAACCGUUUUGGGUAUAGUGCGAGCCCCUGUCCCUAUGUGUAUAGGCUGCGCGUCAUUGUGCCAUUCGGAAGGGGGGUAUCUAUAUCUGCGCGCAAAGGAAACCUUGCAGCCCUAACUUGUUAGACGAACCUUUGAAAGACUUCAUAGUGAACCCUGCUGGCUUUCCUUGGAAGUGAGCUAAGAGGUCGACGGGCCUCGGGUAAAAGGGUAAAUCAUGACUCAUGGGUAAAGAUGUACAACCUCUGCAGAGUGUUAAAUCUGGUAUACUAGCCGUGCCCACGGAUACGGGCGGCCCGGAAAACUGACGGAAUAGAUGGACACUGAUGAACAUGAAUAAUGAUAAUAAAUGAUGGUUUAUUAUGUUGUUUAUAUGUGUUAUUCAUAAUUCCUGUAUACAAUUGAUUAUGUGGUUAUGGGAUUAUUUAUGCUACCUUGAUAUUUGCUAUCCAAUGAUUAAACAUGCUAUCAACUAUUAAAAGCUAAAUGCAGUCAAACCAGUGUCAGCUAUUUGAGCCUCAUGAACCCCUGGUUAUACUUGUUGAGUACGAUAUGUGCUCACUCUUGCAAUUUCCCCCACACCUCAGGAGAAGUUUUGGGCUUGUGAUCAACCAGUCAGUUGGAUCCUGUGGAUAGAAGUUAAUACCCGAAGUUUGGAGUGGUCUAUCCGCUGUUUGCUAUGAAAGGUUAUCUCUUUUAUACUAAGUACGUUAUAUAUUUAUGCAUUGUCUUUUGAUAUUACCCCUUAUUUGUAGCUAUAUGUGAGAUUUGACUUCUAAAACUCACAUAUGGUGCAUAUAUGGUUUUGUCCUUAAAAUCGGGUAUUACAAAUUGGUAUCAAAGCAAUGCUGGUGGUAGGACGCAAGCCUAGUUAGAAAUUGGUCGUAUUAAGGUUUUGGAAUUGUCAUAAAAUCCUUGCUCUAUAAACCUUGGUAUUUUCAUCCAUACUAUAUCCCUAUUCCUGCUAUUUGUCUCUACCUUGUUGCUUAUUUUAAGAGUACUUGUUCCCACCUUCACUCCUUGAUUUUGUAUGCUAUUAGAACGUUUUCUCAUCACCUUCUUGCGUCUUUGAAAUAUAAGUUUUAGGAUCUUUACCCUUGCUAUGAAGAGAACGAUAGUAUCGCAAGUUGAUUGAGGUGUGAACCUUCAAUGCUUAAUUGGUUUGUUAUUAUGUUUAUGCUUGAUUUGGAUCUUUGUAAUGCGUGUAAUGAUUUUGUGAGUUCUUCACAAUUUCAUUUAGUUUAUAGAACUAAGGCAUAAGGAUUAGUGAAAUAAGUAGUUGGGUUUGGCUAUCUCUUGUUUCUAUCCCUUGCUGUUUUCUGGAGCAGUCUGCAAUGGUUCUGGUGUAUCUCAAGUUUUGAUCGUGCAAAGUCUAUCAACUUUUUCUGAGAACAACUAGACUUCAAGAUCUUUCUCUGACCGCAAGAAUCACCCUCAUAGCUGUUAUGGUUUGGAUGUUACAAAAAUCACAAGAUGAUACAACUGUGCUGUCAAGAACCUGGAUCAGUUUUGUUUGCUUACUGUUUGAGACAAAUAUAGCUAUAGAAUUUGGAAAAGUGUUCUAUAGAAAGUUAUAGAUAAUUUGCUAAGCUUUCCAACGGUAUAAGUUGGAACUUAUUUGGAUAAGUAGAACCUGAGAUAUGAUAUUUACAUCUGGAUGUUUCUGUUCUGUUUCAAAAUCUGGACAGAUCUGGUAUUCCCUAUUUUCAGAUAUCUUAACGUCAGAAUCUGGGAAAAAGUUGUAUACGAAAGUUGUAGAGGAUUUUCUAAGCUUUUCAAAUAUGUAAGGAUUAUCUCCAGAUGAGUUAAGUAGCUCGGGAUAUAACUUCUGAAAGCUGCUGCACCUUUGCUGAGACAUUUUCAGGAUGGAUAUUAAGUUUGGUUGUUUUACCUGAGCUUAAAGACAGAACCUAAGGAGGUCUUCUACAGGAAAGUUGCUGGGAAUUUCAUAAGUUUUCUAACGGUAUAAGCUACAAUGCUAUUGGAUUAACAUAAUAAGAGUUAUGUCCAUUUUACUAUGCUGGUGUUUUCAUAUCGCGAGGAAAUUUCAGGAUACCUGUUUGCUCCAUUGCACAUAAGUUCCUUGGAAUGUCAGAAGUUCUCAAUGUUAGUUAACUUGUCUGGAAAAUAUGCAAGCUAACUUUCUUGGUCCCCUAGUUGACUUUUCUUAAGGGGGGUAGCCUAAUUAAAGAAGUUAUAAGGAGAAGGAGUGGUUAAUGACUGGAACAUCUACAAGUACAUCAAGUGCUUCGUAUGUUGGUUUGUUUCAAGAUGUCAUUCCUUUUGGAGUGUACUAAUACUAAUGAGAUAUAUGUCAUUGCUGAUACUCAUGGAUUAAGAGUUACGUAUGAGGAUCAGAUGACACCAAAGUCUACAAAGUUACAUAUACAAUAUGAGAGUGAAACGACUUAAUUGCGAUAAAGGUACCAAUAGAUGGAACUUAGUGUUGAAACCAACCUUGGAUUAAGAGACUUGGUACAAGGAAUUUAAAAGACUAUGAUGUGUAGCGUCUAAAAAGGAUAGGAGAAAUAGUCCCUAAUGUCCCCCAACCAACCUCGUCUUAAGGGGGUAGUACCUUGAUAUCACUGGAAGAUGCAUUUUUAACUACCAUGAAGUGAUAAGUGUCUUCUGAGAUAUCUUAUGGUUAUGUGCACAAAGGAGUGAUCCGUGCUACCUAGUGGAAUUUUUUUUCUUAACUGCAUCAUUAAGGAAAAGAAUCGAGUAUCAAGGUGGUCCACUCCUACCUGAGGAGGCAUAUCCAUGCUAAGUUACCAUGUCUUCGAGUUGUAUAAGUCAAAAAGUUGGUAGUCAAGUUGGGCCUUGAACAAUUACGAAUAAUAGACAUCUUAUGGAAGGUUUGUUCACAAGUUGUGAUCCCGAGACAUGAGUGUUUGCUUUUGGAAUACAAGUGGUGAAGUUGAAAUAGCUAUCAAGAUCUUUAUCCUGUUUCUCUUUUGGAAUCCGUGCCUCUUCCGAAUCUCGAGGACGAGAUUCAUUUUACGGGGGGUAGAUUUGUAACACCCUAAAUUUUGCAAGUCUUUAAAAUAGAAGAAUUUGAUUUAAUUUUGUGUUUUGUGCUCAUAAAAAUAUAGAAACAAUGACAUUUUUUCAUUAAAUUAAAAAUUAUCAUUGGAGUUAGCAAUGUGGUUGAGCAUGCAUGCCCUUGCAUUUAUUUUAUUGAGAUGUGUAGCUGCAUGAAAAAAAAAUUCCAAAUGAUUCAAAAUAUUUUUGAAAAGAUGUGAAAAUAGCUUUGGAAUAAAAGAAAACAAAAAGGAAAGAAAAAAAAGGAAAACCUCCCCCUCUCUCUUUUUUCCCCCUCGGCCCUCUCCCGUGGCCACUUGGCCCAGCAACGUGGCCCAAUGGCCAGCUCAGACAGUGAGCCGAAGCCCAGGUCGCACGCGUUCCCUCCUCUCCUCCUUCCUUCCGACUGACAGCCCGGUCCCGCGCCACCGGUCACUGACUGAUGGGACCCAAUCGUCAGCUUCUUCCUCCCUCCUUUCCUUCAUCCUCUCGACGGGCUCGUGCAGGACUCAAGCCGGUUGGAAUCAACCCCAAAAUCUUCAGGAUUUUUCUUGCCCAACGCGUAAUCCGAGCACUCUGUGAGUUUUGGAAGCCGCCCCGUGUUUCUUUUUCCCUUAUACGCGGUCUAUCCAAGCCCUAGACGCCC